rnacentral:rRNA from 1 species
UACGGAGGGGGCUAGCGUUGUUCGGAAUUACUGGGCGUAAAGCGCACGUAGGCGGCUUUGCAAGUCAGAGGUGAAAGCCCGGGGCUCAACCCCGGAAUUGCCUUUGAGACUGCAUCGCUAGAAUUGUGGAGAGGUAAGUGGAAUUCCGAGUGUAGAGGUGAAAUUCGUAGAUAUUCGCAAGAACACCAGUGGCGAAGGCGGCUCACUGGCCCGAUACUGACGCUGAUGCACGAAAGCGUGGGGAGCAAACAGG